rnacentral:snRNA from 1 species
GCCUCUUUGGAGACAUUUGAUAAAAUUGGAACGAUAGGGAGAAGAUUUGCAUGGCAUGGCCCCUGCACAAGGAUGACACACAAAUCGAGAAAUGGUCCAAACUUUA